rnacentral:rRNA from 1 species
AUUGAACGCUGGCGGCAGGCCUAACACAUGCAAGUCGAACGGUAACAGGAAGACGCUUGCUUCUUUGCUGACGAGUGGCGGACGGGUGAGUAAUGUCUGGGAAACUGCCUGAUGGAGGGGGAGAACUACUGGAAACGGUAGCUAAUACCGCAUAACGUCGCAAGACCAAAGAGGGGGACCUUCGGGACUCUUGCCAUAGGAUGUGCCCAGAUGGGAUUAGCUAGUAGGUGGGGUAACGGCUCACCUAGGCGACGAUCCCUAGCUGGUCUGAGAGGAUGACCAGCCACACUGGAACUGAGGCACGGUCCAGACUCCUACGGGAGGCAGCAGUGGGGAAUAUUGCACAAUGGGCGCAAGCCUGAUGCAGCCCUGCCGCGUGUAUGAAGAAGGCCUUCGGGUUGUAAAGUACUUUCAGCGGGGAGGAAGGGAGUAAAGUUAAUACCUUUGCUCAUUGACGUUACCCGCAGAAGAAGCUCCGGCUAACUCCGUG